rnacentral:rRNA from 1 species
AAAACACUAACGAACGCUGGCGGCAGGCUUAACACAUGCAAGUCGAGCGCCCCGCAAGGGGAGCGGCAGACGGGUGAGUAACGCGUGGGAAUCUACCUAGCUCUACGGAAUAACCCAGGGAAACUUGGACUAAUACCGUAUACGUCCUUCGGGAGAAAGAUUUAUCGGAGUUGGAUGAGCCCGCGUUGGAUUAGCUAGUUGGUGGGGUAAUGGCCUACCAAGGCGACGAUCCAUAGCUGGUCUGAGAGGAUGAUCAGCCACACUGGGACUGAGACACGGCCCAG